ensembl:lncRNA
GGGUGUUUUAUCAUGGGUGCAGGGUGUUUUAUCACGGGUGCAGGGUGUUUUAUCACGGGUGCAGGGUGUUUUAUCACGGGUGCAGGGUGUUUUAUCACGGGUGCAGGGUGUUCUAUCACGGGUGCAGGGUGUUUUAUCACGGGUACAGGGUGUUCUAUCACGGGUGCAGGGUGCAGGGUGUUUUAUCAUGGGUGCAGGGUGUUUUAUCACGGGUGCAGGGUGUUCUAUCAUGGGUGCAGGGUGCAGGGUGUUUUAUCACGGGUACAGGGUGUUCUAUCAUGGGUACAAGGUGUUCUAUCAUGGGUGCAGGGUGUUCUAUCACGGGUACAAGGUGUUCUAUCACGGGUACAAGGUGUUCUAUCACGGGUACAGGGUGUUCUAUCAUGGGUGCAGGGUGUUCUAUCAUGGGUGCAGGGUG